AGAAGUACAAAAUGCAAAAGCCUGGCAGAGUUACGUGCACCAGAACAUUUGUUUGGCUAUCGAAGAAUGUUUUUUUUUAGCAAAUGGUUGCUACUGUGAUAUUUCUGCCUUGCUAGCUAGCCAGUAACUGACUAGUCUAUACUGUUGGAUAAAGACUAGCUAUUUGCGUUUCGUUUUUAUCCGUGAAAGCUGCCAUGUAAAGGCUGGACAGUCCAUAUCCAACUAUCUGUCCACUAGUUAUGUAGCUAGCAAAACGAGUUAGCCUCCGGUGCUGCAAACUCUUGAGAUUCGUCUUUUAUUGUUACUUAAAGUCGAUUAGUCAAUCUAGUUUGUAUUUUGAGGCAAACUCGCUGCUGAAGGCAAAUAAGCUUAACCUUGUUAAGGCUGGCUGGCGUUAGCUUUUUCUUUUAUCUUAAAACGAAACUUAUCCUAUUUCAUUCAAGCUUGUGUUGUUACCGGACCACCACAGGGUGCAAUGCUACCAACGAUAUUACUGGAUGGAAACAAUGCAGCGAAGCCUAGAGUGGGCAAGGGGUACGCUCUUGAAUGUUGCUUCAGCAGACGGCCUGAUAGCUUAAGUGUCCGAGUUCAUCGAGGAGAUUCGCACCUAUGGUCGGCAUGCACAACAAGCCAGUUCCGGUUACCAGGCUCCAUUGACUUGGACUGGAGCAAUGGGGGCUCCUCAUUAUCACAUCACCGGAGAGCAGCUGAGGGGUCUGAUGAUGGAUGGAAGAUAUUCUCCACGUGUUCCACUACACUCAAAACCACAUCUGAGAUACUUUGCAUUAACCUGAGGGCAGCUGCGUCCCAUCAAUGUCGCAGAGGCUGCACAGAAGGUACAGUGUUGCUGCUCUGAAUUCUUGAUGACACAUCGAUGGAAACUACAGACUGAAGAUGGAGGAUAGUCAUCCAUGGUGGCAUUGAUGGUCACAGCUGCCAUGUGUUUCUCCACGCUUCCAGCAACAAGUGCAGCAUUACUAAAUGCUGAGGCCAGACAGUCCGUCCAGGCUUAGAACAGGAUCUGGUAGAAGCUAGAUUUCUGUGAUUGCCACCUUUUGAAUUGGAUAACCAUGGACCAGAACAAGAUAAACAAUAUUUUCCUGCAGUAGUGAAUGUAUGUUACUGCUCGACAUUAAAUUAUAAAACGAGAAGAAGUGAAUGUAGCUUGUUUCAUAACAAGAUGGGUUGAUGGAGUGAUAUGGAGGGGUGAUUGUCAUUGUUUGUUUACUAAUUCUUAAACAUAAACAAUGUAUAUAUUGAA